rnacentral:rRNA from 1 species
AGCAGUCGCCGCGGGAAUACGGAGGGUGCAAGCGUUAAUCGGAAUUACUGGGCGUAAAGCGCACGCAGGCGGUCUGACAAGUCAGAUGUGAAAUCCCCGGGCUUAACCUGGGAACUGCAUUUGAAACUGUCAGGCUGGAGUCUUGUAGAGGGGGGUGGAAUUCCAGGUGUAGCGGUGAAAUGCGUAGAGAUCUGGAGGAAUACCGGUGGCGAAGGCGGCCCCCUGGACAAAGACUGACGCUCAGGUGCGAAAGCGUGGGGAGCAAACAGGAUUAGAUACCCCUGUAGUCCCUGUCUCUUAUAC